UACGUAGGGGGCUAGCGUUAUCCGGAAUUACUGGGCGUAAAGGGUGCGUAGGCGGUCUUUCAAGCCAGAAGUGAAAGGCUACGGCUCAACCGUAGUAAGCUUUUGGAACUGUAGGACUUGAGUGCAGGAGAGGAGAGUGGAAUUCCUAGUGUAGCGGUGAAAUGCGUAGAUAUUAGGAGGAACACCAGUAGCGAAGGCGGCUCUUUGGACUGUAACUGACGCUGAGGCACGAAAGCGUGGGGAGCAAACAGG
rnacentral:rRNA from 1 species